AGUGAACGCUGGCGGUAGGCCUAACACAUGCAGGUCGAACGGCAGCACAGUAAGAGCUUGCUCUUACGGGUGGCGAGUGGCGGACGGGUGAGGAAUACAUCGGAAUCUACUUUUUCGUGGGGGAUAACGUAGGGAAACUUACGCUAAUACCGCAUACGACCUACGGGUGAAAGCAGGGGAUCUUCGGACCUUGCGCGAUUGAAUGAGCCGAUGUCGGAUUAGCUAGUUGGCGGGGUAAAGGCCCACCAAGGCGACGAUCCGUAGCUGGUCUGAGAGGAUGAUCAGCCACACUGGAACUGAGACACGGUCCAGACUCCUACGGGAGGCAGCAGUGGGGAAUAUUGGACAAUGGGCGCAAGCCUGAUCCAGCCAUACCGCGUGGGUGAAGAAGGCCUUCGGGUUGUAAAGCCCUUUUAUUGGGAAAGAAAAGCAGCAGAUUAAUACCCCGCUGUUCUGACGGUACCCAAAGAGUAAGCACCGGCUAACUUCGUG
rnacentral:rRNA from 1 species